AUUGAACGCUGGCGGCAGGCCUAACACAUGCAAGUCGAACGGUAACAGGAAGCAGCUUGCUGCUUCGCUGACGAGUGGCGGACGGGUGAGUAAUGUCUGGGAAGCUGCCUGAUGGAGGGGGAUAACUACUGGAAACGGUAGCUAAUACCGCAUAAUGUCGCAAGACCAAAGAGGGGGACCUUCGGGCCUCUUGCCAUCGGAUGUGCCCAGAUGGGAUUAGCUUGUUGGUGGGGUAACGGCUCACCAAGGCGACGAUCCCUAGCUGGUCUGAGAGGAUGACCAGCCACACUGGGACUGAGACACGGUCCAGACUCCUACGGGAGGCAGCAGUGGGGAACAUUGCACAAUGGGCGCAAGCCUGAUGCAGCCAUGCCGCGUGUAUGAAGAAGGCCUUCGGGUUGUAAAGUACUUUCAGCGGGGAGGAAGGGAGUAAAGUUAAUACCUUUGCUCAUUGACGUUACCCGCAGAAGAAGCACCGGCUAACUCCGUG
rnacentral:rRNA from 1 species